rnacentral:ncRNA from 2 species
CACGGUUGUCCCUUUUUUUGUUUGUAUUCCUCGAAUAUGGGACAGGACAUGGGAAUCCCGUGAAAGACGGGAGCUGCCCCGCAACUGUAACCCGCUCCUUCCUCCGAUGUGGAGGAUGGAAACCCCUGCGACAAACAGUGCCACUGCUUCGCCGAAGGCGGAAUGGGAAGGCGGCCGCAAGGGACGGGAAGCCAGGAAACCUGCCUGAAUCCCAAAAGCCUC